rnacentral:rRNA from 1 species
GACGAACGCUGGCGGCGUGCUUAACACAUGCAAGUCGAGCGGAAAGGCCCUGCUUUUGUGGGGUGCUCGAGUGGCGAACGGGUGAGUAGCACGUGAGUAACCUGCCCUUGACUUUGGGAUAACUUCAGGAAACUGGGGCUAAUACCGGAUAGGAGCUCCUGCUGCAUGGUGGGGGUUGGAAAGUUUCGGCGGUUGGGGAUGGACUCGCGGCUUAUCAGCUUGUUGGUGGGGUAGUGGCUUACCAAGGCUUUGACGGGUAGCCGGCCUGAGAGGGUGACCGGCCACAUUGGGACUGAGAUACGGCCCAGACUCCUACGGGAGGCAGCAGUGGGGAAUAUUGCACAAUGGGCGGAAGCCUGAUGCAGCAACGCCGCGUGCGGGAUGACGGCCUUCGGGUUGUAAACCGCUUUCGCCUGUGACGAAGCGUGAGUGACGGUAAUGGGGAAAGAAGCACCGGCUAACUACGU